CCUACGGGUGGCAGCAGUGAGGAAUAUUGGUCAAUGGACGCAAGUCUGAACCAGCCAUGCCGCGUGAAGGAUGAAGGCCUUCUGGGUUGUAAACUUCUUUUAUCUGGGAAGAAACCCCUGAUUUCUAUUAGGGCCGACGGUACCAGAGGAAUAAGCACCGGCUAACUCCGUCCCAGCAGCCGCGGUAAUACGGAGGGUGCAAGCGUUAUCCGGAUUCACUGGGUUUAAAGCGUGUGUAGGCGGCAGUUUUGAAAUAUCCGAGCUUAACUUGGAAUCUGCCAUUGAUACUAAUCGUCUUGAAUUCUGUUGAGGUGGGCGGAAUAUGUCAUGUAGCGGUGAAAUGCAUAGAUAUGACAUAGAACACCGAUUGCGAAGGCAGCUCACUAAGCAGACAUUGACGCUGAGGCACGAAAGCGUGGGGAUCAAACAGGAUUAGAUACCCUUGUAGUC
rnacentral:rRNA from 1 species